GUGUCAGCAGCCGCGGUAAUACAGAGGGGGCAAGCGUUAUUCGGAAUUAUUGGGCGUAAAGGGCGCGUAGGCGGCCUGGCAAGUGACGGGUGAAAUCCCUCGGCUUAACCGAGGAACUGCCUGUCAGACUGCUUGGCUUGAGACCGGGAGAGGUGAGUGGAAUUCCCAGUGUAGCGGUGAAAUGCGUAGAUAUUGGGAGGAACACCAGUGGCGAAGGCGGCUCACUGGACCGGAACUGACGCUGAUGCGCGAAAGCGUGGGGAGCAAACAGGAUUAGAAACCCUGGUAGUCC
rnacentral:rRNA from 1 species